rnacentral:rRNA from 1 species
AACGAACGCUGGCGGCGUGCCUAACACAUGCAAGUCGUGCGAGAAAGUUCCUUCGGGAGCGAGUAAAGCGGCGCACGGGUGAGUAACACGUAGGUAACCUGCCCCCCAGUCUGGAACAACUAGAGGAAACUCUAGCUAAUGCCGGAUGAGACCACGAUCCCUUCGGGGGUUGCGGCCAAAGAUGGCCUCUACUUGUAAGCUAUCGCUGAGGGAUGGGCCUGCGGGCCAUUAGCUUGUUGGUGGGGUAACGGCUCACCAAGGCUGUGAUGGCUAGCUGGUCUGAGAGGAUGACCAGCCACACUGGGACUGAGACACGGCCCAGACUCCUACGGGAGGCAGCAGUGGGGAAUAUUGCGCAAUGGGCGAAAGCCUGACGCAGCGACGCCGCGUGGGUGAUGAAGGCCUUCGGGUCGUAAAGCCCUGUCGCAGGGGAAGAAUAAGCAUCGGUAUAAUACGCCGGUGCCCUGACGGUACCCUGCAAGAAAGCACCGGCUAACUCCGUG